GCCCAGGUGGCGGAAUUGGUAGACGCGCACGUUUCAGGUGCGUGUGCAGCGAUGCGUGCAGGUUCGAGUCCUGUUCUGGGCA
rnacentral:tRNA from 3 species